AUCAGGCUGAAGUGUCCUAAAUAGGACGAAACGCGCGUUAUGGAU
rnacentral:hammerhead_ribozyme from 1 species